UACGUAGGGUGCAAGCGUUAAUCGGAAUUACUGGGCGUAAAGCGUGCGCAGGCGGUGAUGUAAGACAGAUGUGAAAUCCCCGGGCUCAACCUGGGAACUGCAUUUGUGACUGCAUCGCUGGAGUGCGGCAGAGGGGGAUGGAAUUCCGCGUGUAGCAGUGAAAUGCGUAGAUAUGCGGAGGAACACCGAUGGCGAAGGCAGCUCGCUGGGACGGUAUUGACGCUGAGACGCGAAAGCGUGGGGAGCGAACAGG
rnacentral:rRNA from 1 species